UAAUAAUCAAGUCAUUAUUUAUGUUCACUAAGACAUCAUGUAAUUGCAGUAUAUCACAGUAAAAACAAAUUCAGCUGUUUGCGAACACACACACAUAAAGUCAACGAAGAGUCAAUGAAUAUUUGAGAAGACAGUGACACUGCAGACUUCUCAAAUUGCUAUAUACACACGUAAAAACGCACCGUAUGCAAGCAAGUUGUUAUACCUGUUCACAAACUGUCGACAAGUUGUGUUCGCACUGCUU